rnacentral:rRNA from 1 species
AUUGAACGCUAGCGGGAUGCUUUACACAUGCAAGUCGAACGGCAGCGCGGACUUCGGUCUGGCGGCGAGUGGCGAACGGGUGAGUAAUGUAUCGGAACGUGCCCAGUAGCGGGGGAUAACUACGCGAAAGCGUAGCUAAUACCGCAUACGCCCUACGGGGUAAAGCAGGGGAUCGUAAGACCUUGCACUAUUGGAGCGGCCGAUAUCGGAUUAGCUAGUUGGUGAGGUAACGGCUCACCAAGGCGACGAUCCGUAGCUGGUUUGAGAGGACGACCAGCCACACUGGAACUGAGACACGGCCCAGACUCCUACGGGAGGCAGCAGUGGGGAAUUUUGGACAAUGGGGGCAACCCUGAUCCAGCCAUCCCGCGUGUGCGAUGAAGGCCUUCGGGUUGUAAAGCACUUUUGGCAGGAAAGAAACGUCGCGGGCUAAUACCCCGUGGAACUGACGGUACCUGCAGAAUAAGCACCGGCUAACUACGUG